rnacentral:tRNA from 1 species
ACGCUCGUAACUCAGCAUGGAUAGAGUACUUGGCUUCGAACCAAGAUGUCGGGGGUUCAAAUCCCUUCGAGCGUA